AUGUUGCUGAAAUUAUUUUUCAUCUGUUUUCCCCCAUUUUCUUACUAUAUUUUUUUAACAUAGUGCAUCAAAUUAAAACUCAAUAAACAGCUCACGGCUGCUUAUUGGGGAGCACAAAAAACUUGCUCUAGAUUAAAGCUGGUGCCUCAUCCAAUGCAGAGUGGAUUCACACUCCACCAGCAUCCCUCUGCCUUACUUGUGAAAGCCACAGAUUACCCAGAGUGUUCAGCAAGGGGUUGUCAGACUAACCAAAAUGUGUUGUAGCACAGCCAGCCCGUAUUUCUCCAUUGGGUCUGAUGUCAUCUUGGUAAGUACAUCAUCUAGAUGAUAUGGAUUUGUAUGGAUCUGUCUUGUAUCACUCCUUCAUCCUUCAGCUCCUCUGAUAGCCAGAAAGCUGCCAAUCAGGCUCCUCAAUGCAAAAACCAGCAGAGAUGUAGAACAGUUGUGAUGAUCAUCCAGAAGGUCUCAUGGAGGUAUCUGGCUUCUUCAGAGUGGCUUCAGGUGAGGGAAUUUUGAAGACAAGGACCUGAAUCCAGGUGUGAUCUCUUCAGUUCUAAAAGGCUUAAGAGACUGAAAGCCCCAUUUUGGAAGUUUGAGCCAUAAGACACAGUGUGUGCACAGGCAGCACAAUUUGAACAGAGAGCAAUCACAGACCUGUCUGCCUGGAGAGCCAGCCCAAUGAUCCAUGGAGAACCACCUACACAGACUGGACAUCAAAUGCUGUCUCAAAUCCAAAACCACAUGGUUUUGGUUGUAGAAUCAUCAAAGUAAGCUCCUAUAUGAGUUUGCUUUUCUUAUUUCAACCCAAAAUCAUCUACAGGAAGCAGCAUUCAAGCUCACUGGACAGGUCAGUUAAUUAUGUUGAGCAAGUCAAUAGAGGGAUCAAUUUACCAAAUGAUAAACAGAGAUUCUGCUUUCAUCAGGGUAGUGAAUAUUAAUUGAUUUGACAGGCAGAAGCUUGGUAAAACAAGUAGAAGUUGCAUCAGGGCAUCACUGUAUUAAUUAGCCAUGUUGAAGCUGCUUUUAGCUGCUUCCGAAGUUUAAUCAAUAUGCUGCAUUUGAGUCCCAAAGGGCUUAUGGAAACAGCCUUUGAAAUCCUUUAAAUUGCUGCCUCUGUGAGGUUUUAGGCUCUUUGCUUAUUCUUGUUCUGCUGUUUUUCUUCCUUAUUUUUUUCCCCUCCUGCAAUCAAUAGUGACCCACAAGAAUUGGUAGGGGUGGGUUUUCUUAUUUGUAUCACAAAUUUGCAUUGGCUGGGAACAGAAAUAAAAUGAAAAAGAUCUUCUGUUUUAGUACAAUAAUAGUAAUAAUCCUAGACAUUAAUGAGCUGCCCUCUGUCUUCCAGUUUCUAUAUGCAGUAAAUUACCUCUAUAGACUUAAUCUGAUGUGAACGAGCAAGGCACCAGUUAAAUCAUGUUUUCCCGAGCCCUCGCAUACUGCUCAGACUUUGAUUUAAUACAAAGUAAGAUUUGAGCUUGCUAAUACAUUUUACUGAGUGGGAGGAAGGAGAAGGUGGAGCUGAAAAUGAGGCCAGAGAACUAAAUUAUGCAGAGAUGGGGAUGGAAGACUGCUGGAUGCAAGGGUGGUGGUCUGGGACUGCCCUGGGAGAGCAUGGUGUCAAUGCCACUGGCCAGCUCUGUGUGUGUAUAGUAACUGUUGAGUCCCAGCCUGACCCACUGAUUGAGCACCUGGGGAAAGGACCCAGUCAGCCCUGGGAGCACAGGUAAAGGCAAUUGGGGUGGAGCCUGGCUGCACCUCCCUGACACCCUAUUUAAGGGCUGACUGCUACCAGGGAAGGAUCUCUUUUUGGAGAUCCCUCCUUGGUGAAGCUUUCCUCUGCAAACUGAGACUCUUCUGAUGCAGGCACUUCUUUUUCUCCCAACAAGAAUAUAUCUGUCAAGAGAAACAGAUGUUCUCUAUGAAAAAUCUUCUUUAAUUACAAGUCUGUCAAAAAGAGAAGCAAAGCCACCAGCCAAAAUGCAGGGGCAAACCCACAGCCAGCAGAUAAAAGACCCCUCCAGAGCUUAGGACAUCUGCCCCUCAGACCAGAUGUUGUAUAGUAAGAAAUAUUCAAGUGUCUCAAGUAUGUGGAUGGUUUCAGCUCCGGGCAGGGAAUCGCCCCUUUCCUGAGCAGCCCCUUCCUCAGCUCUUGUCACAUCAUCCCUGCACUGAUAAGUUGGGAGUUUUUAGAGUUUAGUUUUCAGAUGAUCCUGUUUCUAAUCAAUGGAGCUGCUGCUUUUUGUGACUCCUGGGAAUAAGAUGGCGUGGAAACAACCCACAGCCAUGCCCAAGUAAGAAAACUAAAAGAACUACUGGUUUUGGUCAGCGUGGAACAUGGCUCUUUUUACCCUGACAUUUUCCUAGAGGAAAGUGAAACUCUUCAUCUACAGGUUCAACAAAAUCCCAGAGGUGCUCUGUCAGAUGUCUCCUGACGUGCUCUCUCAGUUAUUGCUGGAUGGAUCAGAAGUUCUCCGGGGAGCAGUGGGUUGCAAAACUCAGCUUUAAAUCUCAAAGGCUGAAAAUACUCAAUUCCGGUGUCUGCUUUUUGCUUCCAGGGGAGCUAUCUGCUCUUUGUCUUCAUUGCCAUCUUCUUCGGCUUUGUCUUCAUCAUCUUUGCUUUGUCCUCCUUUAUUUCUCUCUCUUCUUCCUUUUUCUCCUUCCUCCAGCUUCUAAAUCCCCACCUUCCCUUGACCUCCCCUUCUUUCCUUCUCCCCACCAUGCACUGCAUGCUGAAUGGAGGAGGCUCUCAAAGGCAAGAUCAGUGUUGGGACACCCUUACCUAAAACAUCAGUGGUGAACAGAACCCAGGUUUUCAGCCAGGAAAUUGCACUGGUAAUCUCCUGCAAGGGAGGCAUUCCCAUUUUUCAUGAUGGUUGGCCCUUGCGGGAUAUGGAUGAAAAGAGAAAGCAUUUCAUUUGCUCUUUGAAAACCGGAGCUAUAGAUCAAGGCCCUGCUCAUUCCCCUGAAGACUAGAAAUGGGAUUUUUGCAAGAAUUGAGGCUAUCCUCUCCGAAAACUAAAACAGUUAUCUACACUUUCAUCCAGAGGUCAGCAGUAGAGAUUUUUCUCCAACAGUUGGAUAAAUCCAGGCUGUUAGUGACUCUCCUUCCCACUCUCCUCUGUUAUUGCUUUUCAAUGCGUGAAGGGUGAGGAACAAGCAAAUACCUCUGCUUCCCAGCUUUGCCCUUGCCUGUACAAGCAGCCAAGUAUUUCCUUCUAACACUCAGGACCCAAACACCUU